rnacentral:rRNA from 1 species
UACGUAGGGCGCAAGCGUUGUCCGGAAUUAUUGGGCGUAAAGAGCUCGUAGGCGGUCUGUCGCGUCGGAUGUGAAAGCCCGGGGCUUAACCCCGGGUCUGCAUUCGAUACGGGCAGACUAGAGUGUGGUAGGGGAGAUCGGAAUUCCUGGUGUAGCGGUGAAAUGCGCAGAUAUCAGGAAGAACACCAACGGCGAAGGCAGCUCGCUGGGACGGUACUGACGCUGAGACGCGAAAGCAUGGGGAGCGAACAGG